CCCUUAGAUGUUCUGGGCCGCACGCGCGCUACACUGAUGCAUUCAACGAGCCUAGCCUUGACCGAGAGGUCCGGGUAAUCUUUGAAACCGCAUCGUGAUGGGGCUAGAUUAUUGCAAUUAUUAAUCUUCAACGAGGAAUGCCUAGUAAGCGUGAUUCAUCAAAUCGCGUUGAUUACGUCCCUGCCCUUUGUACACACCGCCCGUCGCUCCUACCGAUUGAGUGUGUUGGUGAGGAGUUUGGAUUGGCCUCGGAAGGUGGUUCGCCACCGUCCGUAGCUGAGAAGUUCUCCAAACCGCCCCACUUAGAGGAAGGAGAAGUCGUAACA
rnacentral:rRNA from 1 species